GUGCGCAAAAAACCCAUCACAGGCAGGACUCCCACCACGCAGGGCCAAGAUGAGGAUGAUGGUGAUGCAGGAACAUCCACACCGCGACACAUUUCGCAAAGGUGCGCUCCCCAACUCGGAAACACAGGCCUCAGAAGAGUCACCGUCCUGAUGUCCCCACUACACAAUCCGCGUUUCCACCACAACGCUGCAUAUCGAAUGUGUCAUCACGGCUCCCUGUCGACCUUUUGGAGAGUCCGCCAACACAGGACCCACAAUCCCCACAGCUGCCUGAUGCUGACAACAUGCCUCAGGAUACCCAGCAGGACACAGAAAUGGAGGAAACCUUUAUCCUUCAACUCCAGCCAAUAGACCCAACCCGACCUACCUUGCCACCUGUGAGUAAGCCUCCACCACAAAGUACACCUGCACCACAAAUGAGUCCAACAACACCACAGGCUCAAAUACAGGAUCAGGCAUUUUGGGACAGUUGGGCAACCCAACAGGAAAAUAAUCUUGAGUGUCUGCGCAGACAAACCCAAUUUCUGGCAAGUCUGCCACAUCAGCUACCAAGUAUAAGUCGUAAUAGUAGCCGAAUAAAUGUUAAAGUCAGUCGAAUUGCAAAUACUAUGGAGCAAAUGCGUGCUGAUAACAUACAUAUGAUGAACACUUUCCAAAGAAUCAUGGAUGAGCAACACCGACAACACCAAAACUACAUACACAUUCUGGAAAAUAACCAAAAGAUUACUGAAAGCCUAAGCCGCAUAAUAGAAAAUCACACGGCAGCAACCACAGACCCGAAACUCUCAGUAACCUGAGCCACAACAUGUUUGCUACAACCUCGACAACCAAGCACCAGCUCGGGAAACACAAUGCCAAUCAUGACCCCAGUUACCUCCCCAGUAAGGAGAUCCAGCCGAACACGGCAAACGUGCCUGGGCAAACCUGCAGCCUCCAAAGUGCCACCCAAAAAAAUUAGACUCCCCCUAUGCAGGUUCAAUCUGUUUAGGAGGAGAAAACACUGUUAGUUGCACUGUAUGAUCAAAACAGAAAUGGAGCUUUGAACAUAAUUUACAACACGCUUUCUGUUAUAUGUUGAAAGUUUGAAUGACUGUCAGUGUAACAGGACCAUUCAGUCAGUUAUUUUAUAAUUUUCAAAAAAUUUACAUACCCUCAUGAGUAACCUGAUUUGUUACUGCCACAAAUAGAGAUAUGAUUAUGUUUUUUGGUAUGAUACAAUUUAGACAACAUUGGUCAGAGAUAUUUAUGGCCUUACUCUAUUGGCAUAAUGGCUUGGUCAGUAACCAUAAAAUCUGACGGCCAAAUUACAAUAAAAAUAUGCUUCAUUACAGAAUGGUCAUCAUCCUCCUUCUUUGCAGGCAUAAUUAAAAACAAUACUCAAUAUUUUUUGGUCUGUAACCAGAUAU